rnacentral:tRNA from 1 species
AGGGUUGUGGCUCAGCGGUAGAGCACUCACCUAGCAUGUGUGAGGCCCUGGGUUGGAUCCUCAGCACCACAU